rnacentral:rRNA from 1 species
UACGUAGGGACCAAGCGUUGUUCGGAUUUACUGGGCGUAAAGGGCGCGUAGGCGGCAAUUCAAGUCAUCUGUGAAAUCUCCGGGCUUAACCCGGAACGGUCAGAUGAUACUGCUUUGCUAGAGUGCGGAAGGGGCAAUCGGAAUUCUUGGUGUAGCGGUGAAAUGCGUAGAUAUCAAGAGGAACACCUGAGGCGAAGGCGGGCUACUGGGCCGAUACUGACGCUGAUGCGCGAAAGCCAGGGGAGCGAACGGG